AAGUCCCUAAUCGUUACGUCAAUAGAUGCGGAAAAAACAUUUGACAAAAUUCUGACACGCGUGAUAAAGACACUCCGCAAAUAAGGAAUAGAAAGGAACUUUGUAAACAUAGACGGGUUUAUUUGAAAAACCUACAGCCAACAGAAUAGGAGUGAAAACUCUCCCUUUAGUGGAAGGAACCAGUAAGUGUGCCCGCUUUUAACACUGCUGUUCAACAUUGUCCUGGAGGUUACAGCCACAGCAAUUAGGUAAGGAUAUAGAAUGAAAGGUCCACUUGGAAGACUUGAUACUGUUAAAAUGGCAAUACUCUCCAAAGUGGUCCACAGAUUCAAGUGCUGUAUCUGUCAAAAUUCCAGUGGCUUCUUUCUGUUUGUUUCUUUCAGGAACAGAAGCGGAUCCUGGAGUUCGCAUGAAGCUAUAAGGAAGAGGCCCUAAUUAGCAAAAACGAUCUUGAACAAUGCUCAAAGUUGAUGUCUGAUUGUAAAACCUAGUACAAAGCUUCAGUAAUCCAAGCAGUGCGGUACUGGCAUAAGAAUAGACAUACAGACUAAUGGAAUAGAAUUGAGAAUCCAGAAACAAACCCUUGCGUGCAUGGCUGGUAUAAGAAGUCUCCAACAAACAGUGCUGGGACAAUUGGAUAACCAACGCAGAAGAAUGAAGUUAGACCUCUGCCUCACUCCACAUGUCACUCAUUAACUCAAAAUGGAUCAACAGUCUGUAGGAGCUAAAACCAUAAACCUACUAGAAGAAAACAGGUAAAUCUUGACCUGGGGUCUGGUGAUGGUUUCUUCGAUUUGAUAUCAAAAGAACAACUCUUGUGCAUCAAAGGAUAUUAUCAAGAAUGCGAUAAGGCAGUCUGUAGAAGGGGAGAAAAUAUUCACAAAUCCUAGAUCUGACUUGGGUUUAAUAUCCAGACUCUGUAAGGAACGUUUACGACUCAACAGUAAAAAGAUAGACCGCCCAAUUUAAAAGCAAAGGAAUGGCCAUUUCUUCCAAACAAGAUCUAUAUACAAAUGGAUAACAGGCACUGGAAAAGGACGGUUAACAUUCUUGGUUAUUAAAGAGAUGCAGAUUAACACCACAAUGAGCUACCAUUUCAUACCCACUGGAUGGCCUUCAUGGAGAAAAAGGGCCAGAGGUGGAGCUGGGGAGGAUGGGGGGAAAAUGAACGCUUGUGCUCUGCUGGCAAAACAAAAUGGUGCAGCCAGAGUGGAAAACAGUUUGGCGGUUCGUCAAAAAGUUAAACAUAGAAAUACCAUAUGAUCCGGCAAUCCCACUCCUAAGUAUAUACCCAAGAGAAAUGAAAAUAGAUGUCAACACAGAAACUUGUAUGUGAAUGUUUACAGUACAUGAAUCAUAAUAGCCACAAAGCGGAAACAACUCAACGGUCCGUCGAUGGAUGAGUGGAGAAACAAACUGGGAUAUUACGUUCAAUAAAAUAUUAUUCAGCCAUAAAAGAAAUAUUCAUCAUGGUAGAUCCUGACUGAUCCACUGACUCUGGCUCUGGAGGAGUGGAUCUCUCACGGACGCACACAUUUUGAAUUGUGAUGAAGUCCAAUUUAUCAAGUUUUCUUGCUGAGAUUUUGAUGGGAGUUGCAAACCUGUAUAUCAAUUUGGGGAUAACUGACUUAACUCUGCUGAAUCUUCCCAUUCAUGAAAAAGAGAUGUCUCUCCAUUUAUUUAAAUCUGCCUUGGUUUCUCUCAUCAGUAUUUUUUAGUUUUCCGCAUGGAAAUCCAUACGUUUUGUUAGAUUGACAUCUAAAUAUUUCAUGUUUAUGGACUGUAAAUGUAAAUUAAAAAUAAAUUUGGUUUGGAUUGUUCGAUGAGAGUCCACAGGAAUACAGUUGAUUAAAAUAUUGGUUCCCGUGAUUCUGGAGGCAGACGAGUCUGAUAUAUACAUCGCGUUGGUUCUGUUUCUCGGGAGAACCCCGGCUCACACAAGCACCCCCAUUACCACAACCACUUUUCCACCUUGCCUGCUUCGGUUUGGGAAAUAGUCUCGUAACCCACCAAGCCUCGCCAAUGAAGAGGAGACCAGGGAUCUUUUGCGGGGACAGUCUCUUAGGCCUGUGGCAGAGGCAAAGAUAACAUGAAGGGGAAGCUAUUGCAGGGGUCAGGGUCAAGGUACUGGCCUCUGAAUCUCCCUUGUCGGUUACCAUCUCGAGACUGAAGGUUAAGGCUGCUGACCCAUAUCAAGAAGGUAGUGAGCUACAAGACACUUUGGGCACAUUGGCCUUCACUUUGUUCCCGGGGUGUCCCAGGACAAGGUCGUUUUUGCCUCAGCGUCUCCAUGAAUCAGACUUCUUCGCUGCAAGCGGAAGAAACUGAUCCUUGUCGGCUUAAGCAAAGGGGAUGGGGUAGAAAUUAAGGGCAAACUGGAGAAGAUAGUAAGACACAGAGCAGACAUCGGGAAAUAUGGGAUUCCACGAGUCUUCAGAGGGUCAAGAAGUAGGCAGCCCGAGACAGCACGGCAGAUUGUGUCUUUCCAGAAAUAUCUAUGGCGAUAUUUUCAGUCCGCCAAGCUCUUCCAGAAUCUUUGCACCUUUUUUUUUUUUUUUUUUUUAAUCAUGAGCUGGGUCUAUUUCCUCUUGAAACUUGGAGGAACUCUGCAAGUGCCUUGACGAACAGGAUGUGGCAGAAGUGGCACUGGAUGACCUCUAACCCCAAGGCAUAAGGGCAAAAUGGCUUCCGUCUGACUCUCUUGAGAUGCUUGCCCUUCUACUGUGUUGUGAGGAAACCCAGGCCACGUGGAGAAGCUGUAGGUGGGCGUCCUGGCUGACAGCCAAGCGUGGUGCUUGGCCAACAGCCAGCAUCCAUGGCCGGAACCAUGAGUGGAUAAGCCUUCAGAUGUCCCCGGCCCAGCCUUUGAGCUGUCUCUGCUCCCCCAAGUCAAGCAGAGAUGAGCUAUCCCUACGCAGCCCUGACCAGACUGCAGUUUCAUCAGCAAAAUAACGGUCGUCGUGAUUUUAAGCCUUAAGUUACGGGCUGGUUUGUUACACAGCAGUUGAUAACUGGGACAUGCGGCCACUGUGUCAGAGCAGAAAUUACCUGGCUGGGACACAGCCCAGGACCCCGAGGACCCCUCCACCCCUGUGAGACCGUCUGAACAUUUAUUCCCUCCAUCCUGAUCUCAGGAGAGAGCCUGUGCCUGUGUGAGUGAAGGUGCCCAGCCCUGGCUGCGCCGUGAGGCAGGUUGAAGAUGGAGAGAAUAAUAGUGUCUCCUUCACUGAGUCGUUAUGAAGGUUAAAUAAAUUCAUAUGCAUCAAGCCCCCGAAACAGUUCCUGGCAUGUAGUAAGAACACGGAUUCGAUUUUUAAUCAUUAGUUUUGUUACUAUUAAAAUGUGAGCUUGGAUAUCA